AGAAACUGAGUCCCAAAGGAGUUAAGCUGAACUUGCGUAUAAUCGUGCAUUUAUUAAUCGGCAGAAACAGGGAUCCAAACCCAAAUCUUCUGCCUUCAAAUCCAGGACUCUUUCUGCUGUGCCACAUUGCCUCUCAUUCCAAGUCGUCUGCUUCCCAAGCAAAAUUUGCUUACUCCCAAGCACGUUGACUGCUCCUUCCUGCUCACCCUGAACACUACAACUUCUCAAUCUGGAAAAAGAAUUGAGCAAUGCUGCAAUUUGAACCAUACAACCUUAAUUCUAUCAUGUUGUUGAAUGGGGAAGUCCCAGAGGAUGCCCUAUGAAUUGCCAAGUGAAGGCAGCCCAAGCUUUGUGCGGGAAGCUAAGCAGUGAUUCAGGAGCCCUUCUGCUAUGCAUGAUUAUGGUUGGAAUGUUCUACAAGUCGGGCUUCCUGGAAAUAUUUCUGCCCACAAGAACUUGAAUUCCUGAAUUGUCUAUCAUUCAUAUCUAGUGUUUGACAUUUUCAAGUAAUUCCGGAGUCAUUGUGUCCUUCCUUCCCACUCCCACUUCCUCUGAGGUAUGUAAGUGCAACCAUCCCUCUCUGUAAUCCUGGACCACCUAAGCCCAGAGUCAUGUGGCUGACCAGCAAAUGCAGAAACCAAGACCAAGAGAAGACAUUUAUUCAAGGUCAUAUGAGUGACCUUGUAAAUCCCCGAAGAGCUGGGAUUCAAACCAAGGUGCUCUGAUGCGAGAUUUGUUACUCUUCACUAAGCCAUACUCCUCA